rnacentral:rRNA from 1 species
CCUACGGGAGGCAGCAGUGAGGAAUAUUGGUCAAUGGGCGGGAGCCUGAACCAGCCAAGUCGCGUGAGGGAAGACGGUCCAAUGUAUCGUAAACCUCUUUUGUCAGGGAACAAAGGCGGGCACGAUUCCCCGGAUGAAGGUACCUUAUGAAAAAGGAUCGGCUAACUCCGUGCCAGCAGCCGCGGUAAUACGGAGGAUUCGAGCGUUAUCCGGAUUUAUGGGGUUUAAAGGGUGCGCAGGCGGCCUGUUAAGUCAGCGGUAAAAGUCCGGGGCUCAACCCCGGCGAGCCGUUGAAACUGGCGGGCUGGAGUUGGAGAGAAGUACGCGGAAUGCGCGGUGUAGCGGGGAAAUGCUUAGAUAUCGCGCAGAACCCCGAUUGCGAAGGCAGCGUACCGGCUCCACACUGACGCUGAGGCACGAAAGCGUGGGUAUCGAACAGGAUUAGAUACCCCUGUAGUC